GGCUUUUUAGUUUAUUUAAAAUAUUGGUUUUGUAAGCCAAAGAUGACAAAUGUCUUUAGCCU
rnacentral:tRNA from 1 species